ensembl:misc_RNA Metazoa_SRP Metazoan signal recognition particle RNA
AGGCACGGUGGCACAUGCCCGUAGUCCCACCUCCUCCUGAGGUGGGAGGAUCGCUUGAGCCCAGGAGUUCUAGGCUGUAGUGUGCUAUGCCUAUCUGGUGUCUGCACAAAGUAUGGCAUCAAUACGGUGACCUCCCAGGAGUGGGGGACCACCAGGUUGCCUAAGGAGGGGUGAACCGGCCCAGGUUGGAAACGGCGCAGGUCAAAACUCCUGUGCUGAUCAGUAGUGGGAUCGUGCCUGUGAAUAGCCACUGCACUCCAGCCUGGGCAACAUAACAAGACCCCGUCUCUG